GUCAAUAUGUCCGAGUGGUUAAGAAACAGACUUGAAAUCUGUUAGGCUUCGCCUGCGCAGUUCGAACCCUGUUGUUGACG